CAUAUUUAGCUCAUUGAGCCUUGGCUGUGUGGGCAAGUCAGCUUUGAUGAUGCAGGAAGCAGCUCUGGAGAUGCUUAACCCUGCAGGUCCCAAGGCCUCCUAGUGGUCUCGGCAGGCAGUGGUGCCCUCCGGAACAGUCUCUCACUAGGGGAUCUCUCAGUGUGUGGCAGGAGGAUGGUUUUAGGGGAGGGAAUGUCACCCACCUCCCCACAACUGUGCCCCUGCCCUGCUGCAUGAAGGGAAAUGAUGUGACAUUUGGAUCCAUUCAGGAGUUGCCCGUUCCGUUUCCUGGGGCCAUUCCUCUCCAGGCAGCCCUGGGGAGUUCCCGCCCCACCGACCCCAGCCAGGCUUCAGCGGCCCCCUCUCCUCCAUCUCGCCAUCUCUCCGAGGGGCUCGCGUCUCCCUGAUGCGCUCUGGUGUCUGUCUGAGCCAUCCAUCAAGGGUGGCAGGCUGGGGGAAACAUGAAAAAGAGCCUAUUUAGCUAUUAACAUCCCCUCCCGCUUUGUUGUCUCUCUCCUCCCCACUCCCCUACCAGCCCCUCACCCAACCCCUCCCUUUUCCCCUUUUGCAGGAGACAAAACCAGACUGACAAGCUGAAGACUCAAACAUUAAUCAAACUGCGCUCCGGAACAACCUUUCCCUCGCAUUAAUAAAUACAUUUGCGGCCCCUCAUUGGA